UACGUAGGUGGCAAGCGUUGUCCGGAUUUACUGGGCGUAAAGAGCGCGCAGGCGGUCGUUCAAGUCGCGUGUGAAAGCCCCCGGCUCAACUGGGGAGGGUCACGCGAUACUGAUCGACUCGAAGGCAGGAGAGGGAAGUGGAAUUCCCGGUGUAGUGGUGAAAUGCGUAGAUAUCGGGAGGAACACCAGUGGCGAAGGCGGCUCACUGGCUCAUUACUGACGCUCAGGCGCGACAGCGUGGGGAUCAAACAGG
rnacentral:rRNA from 1 species